AGUGAACGCUGGCGGUAGGCCUAACACAUGCAAGUCGAACGGCAGCACAGUAAGAGCUUGCUCUUACGGGUGGCGAGUGGCAGACGGGUGAGGAAUACAUCGGAAUCUACUUUUUCGUGGGGGAUAACGUAGGGAAACUUACGCUAAUACCGCAUACGACCUACGGGUGAAAGCAGGGGAUCUUCGGACCUUGCGCGAUUGAAUGAGCCGAUGUCGGAUUAGCUAGUUGGCGGGGUAAAGGCCCACCAAGGCGACGAUCCGUAGCUGGUCUGAGAGGAUGAUCAGCCACACUGGAACUGAGACACGGUCCAGACUCCUACGGGAGGCAGCAGUGGGGAAUAUUGGACAAUGGGCGCAAGCCUGAUCCAGCCAUACCACGUGGGUGAAGAAGGCCUUCGGGUUGUAAAGCCCUUUUGUUGGGAAAGAAAAGCAGCAGGUUAAUACCCCGCUGUUCUGACGGUACCCAAAGAAUAAGCACCGGCUAACUUCGUG
rnacentral:rRNA from 1 species